AUGGUGGAAGGAUCGGCGAGCGACAUCACGAACCUGAAGUUUCUCCUGCUCUGCUUCCAGCAGAUGUCUGGCCUCAAGAUUAACUUCGAUAAGAGCUCAGUGAUGGCACUAGGAUACUCCGACGCUGAUCGCCGGAGUAUCGCGGACCGGCUCAAUUGCCCGCUUGGGAGUUUCCCCACGACUUAUCUGAGGAUACCCAUUAGUGACUCGAGGCUCACGGUGGCCGAGCUUUGGCCCACGGUGGGCAAGCUCCAGCACCGCGUGGAGCCAUGGCAGGGGAGGUGGCUUUCUAAAGACGCCCGAACGGUGCUGAUCAACUCGUCCCUGUCCAGCCUGCUCCUAUUCAUAAUGAGCUUUUACAGCCUUCCCGAGACUCUGCACCAUGAGAUUGCCAGGGUUCAGGGUCGCUUCUACUAGGCCGGUGAGGGAGACAAG
rnacentral:rRNA from 1 species